rnacentral:rRNA from 1 species
UACAGAGGUCUCAAGCGUUGUUCGGAUUCAUUGGGCGUAAAGGGCGCGUAGGCUGCGGGGCAAGUCGGGUGUGAAAUCUCAGAGCUCAACUCUGAAACUGCACUCGAUACUGCUUUGCUCGAGGACUGGAGAGGAGAUUGGAAUUCACGGUGUAGCAGUGAAAUGCGUAGAUAUCGUGAGGAAGACCAGUGGCGAAGGCGGAUCUCUGGACAGUUCCUGACGCUGAGGCGCGAAAGCGUGGGGAGCAAACAGG